rnacentral:rRNA from 1 species
GAUGAACGCUGGCGGCGUGCCUAAUACAUGCAAGUCGAGCGAACAGACGAGGAGCUUGCUCCUCUGACGUUAGCGGCGGACGGGUGAGUAACACGUGGAUAACCUACCUAUAAGACUGGGAUAACUUCGGGAAACCGGAGCUAAUACCGGAUAACAUGUUGAACCGCAUGGUUCAACAGUGAAAGACGGUCUUGCUGUCACUUAUAGAUGGAUCCGCGCCGCAUUAGCUAGUUGGUAAGGUAACGGCUUACCAAGCAACGAUGCGUAGCCGACCUGAGAGGGUGAUCGGCCACACUGGAACUGAGACACGGUCCAGACUCCUACGGGAGGCAGCAGUAGGAAAUCUUCCGCAAUGGGCGAAAGCCUGACGGAGCAACGCCGCGUGAGUGAAGAAGGUCUUCGGAUCGUAAAACUCUGUUAUUAGGGAAGAACAAAUGUGUAAGUAACUAUGCACGUCUUGACGGUACCUAAUCAGAAAGCCACGGCUAACUACGUG